rnacentral:snRNA from 1 species
GUAGCUUUCGUUCAAAUCAUGUAUUUGUCUUUAAUAUUUGAUAUGCGAGUCAUUGACUCACACGAUAUUAACUCAAUUUUUUAGGGGAAAGUUCACUACUCUGGCUUGCUAUCGGGACUUUCAAAUGUUGCCUUGGUGUUGCACUAUAGCCGUGGCCUGGCAUACCCCUC